GGAGAGGUGGCCGAGCGGCUUAAGGCACCGGUUUGCUAAACCGACGUAGGUUUUCGAGCCUACCGGGGGUUCGAAUCCCCCCCUCUCCG
rnacentral:tRNA from 1 species